AAAAGUCGUAACAAGGUCUCCGUUGGUGAACCAGCGGAGGGAUCAUUAAAGAGUUGCAAAACUCCCAAACCAUUUGUCUACCUACCUGUUUCGUUGCUUCGGCAGGCGGCCCCCAGGGGCCUUCAGCCUACCAGGUGCCUGCCGGAGUAUCUAAAACUCUUGUUAAUUACUGUUCUGUCUGAGUAAACUUUUAAUAGUCAAAACUUUCAACAACGGAUCUCUUGGUUCUGG
rnacentral:misc_RNA from 1 species